CCAGCUUGGAAAAAAAAAUCGGGUUGUUGGAAAUGUGGUAUGAAUUGCUUAGAAUGCCCUUGAAUAUUUUUGGUAAGGAUUCGGGUUGAUAAUUGAAUGUAUAAGCGUCGAUUUUGGCUUGAAGGUAAGUCGUCGAAUUGAAUUUAUGUAAGUUGUCGAAAAAUGGAAAAGAAAGCGAUUAUUGUAUUUUGUUUUUCGGAUUGGUUGUUGGUGUUGUUAGGUUGGUUAUUGUCGUUGGUGAUUGAUAUAGCCGAGUUAAAUUCUCGGGGUGGCCUAUUUAUAGGGGAAAUGCUGCCCAAAUUUCUGUGGAAUUAAGGGCGAAAUUGGAAUUUAUUGCCCAAUAAGUCUUUAGUUAAUGUUUGGCAUUUUAUGGCUUAUUUUUAGAUCGUGGGCAGCCCGAAUCAUAGUUUGGACUUAGCUUGAGUUGGAUCAUAUUGGAGAGCGUUUGAGGUACAGACGCACAACCUGGUGAUCCACCUGUUUAGGACACCCUUCCUGCUAUUCGGAGUGCUCCUCUCUUUCCGGAGCUUAUACUUUUGGUAUAUAUAUUUAUUAGUGCAUUUGUAUAUAUUCGUUCAUGGGUACGGCGGGCCCCUGUCCCGUCAUAUGAUUCUGUCGGUCUGUUUAGAGGUCUGUGGACAUGUUUGUGGGUUAGGGUCUUUCUGUAUGGAUAGGUGUAUAUGUUGUUUGGGCGAUCCCAUACGCCGAGGCGGCCGGUCCGCAUAUGUUUAUACGUUGCUUUGCUAGCCCUGUGUGGCCUUUGUUGGUGUUUGCUGUGUACAGGGUUAUUUUGGAUAGUCUGUAAAACAGAGGAAACUCUGCCGAAAUUUUUCUGGGAAUUGUCUAAAUUUAGAA